UUUGAUUUUGUAAUAAUAAUGCACGUUUAGAUUUAUUGUAAUAUGUUAAUAUUUAUUCGCAAUGUAAUUUAUUCUUAUGUUAUUUAUAAUAACGUUAAAUGUCAUAAGAAUGUUAUAAUUUAAUAUAAUAUUAUAAUAAAUAAUUAUAAUAAUGUUAAAAUAUAAACAAUACAAUUUUUUUAAUAGUUUAUUUUUAUAAUGAGAAGUCUCAAAGUUUGUCUUUAUUAUAGAAAACUCAUUGUUGAAUGGCUACCACUUUACAAUAAGGUUGUAUGUAUUAGUUAAUGUAUUUACUAACAUAAUAAACAAUACAUUUAUUACAGUAUUUAUUCAUCUUUGCUAAUGUUGGUAAAUGGUAAAAAGUUGUUAAUUGUUUAUUCAUGUUAACUCGCAAUGUAUUAAUUAAUGUUAACAAGCAUGACUGAUUUUAUUAAUGCAUUAGUAAAUGCUGUACAUAAAUUAUGCUGUACAGGUAUUGUUCAUAUUAGUUCAUAUUUAAACCAUUAACAUUACUUAUAAAACUACUGUAAAAUGUAACUGUUGUAUGUAUGUUGUUAUAUUAUAUUUGUAUGUAUUUUAUAUGUAUUUUAUAUUUAUUUUGUUAUAUUUGUUAACGUAUGUGUUUUUGAAACAUUUCAUUAAGUGUUUAAUGUAUGUUCGUUAUGCAGUAUUAUAAAUAAAUGUUAUAAUGAUUAA
rnacentral:lncRNA from 1 species